UUUUAUGGUUGGGGGUCACCACAACAUGAGGAACUGUAUUAAGGGGUCGCGGCAUUAGGAAGGUUGAGACCCGCUGUCCUAGUCUAACAGGGAACAACUGUGUGGCUGUCCAAGGGUCCCAGACAGAGGCUUAGAGGAGUGCAUACCUGUGUUGGGGAAGACAGCCAUGCCCCCACCCCACCCCCACCAUCCUUCCAGCAACUGCUUUUGAUAGCUAGGGACAGUGUCCACAAGCGACCUUCACCCAGCCCAAGGGGGACGGACAACGUGAGUAGUGUCUGAAGUCUGGAUUCUGCUUAGAGGCCACGGAUGAUAGGUGGGCAUCCCUCUCCGCUGCCGUUUCUAGGAAGAAGGGUGGGUGUUUCUGUUGUCUGUGUUCCAUUGAGUGAGCGGAGGCCAGGCCAGCUCGGGUUCUUGGGAAGGGGCCCCUUGAGGAAGCCUCUCCCUGAUGGGCUGACACCGACAUGCAGAUGCCAUAUGCCUGCUUAGAACAGGCUCCGGAGUAAGACUGGCAUCGCUCACCGGGGGUAAUUACUGGUUUGGGUUCGAUUUCCAUUCAAAACAGUAAUCCCAGCCUGAGCUGGGUGUCAGAUCUGAAGGUUGAUUAUUAGUAACACUUAUCAACAGCCUCUCAGCUUCAGGCAAUUAUAGCUAAUCUGCCAUUCCUGCUCCCAGUCGUGCAAAACUGCCAGCCUCUUCCCUGCUCGCCCACUCCGUUCCCCUCGCUUCUUCUCCUUUCCCUUCCCCUUAGCAGCCAGCCUGAGGGAGGGCAGGAGAUGGGAGCCCCCUUUUGAGUCACUCUCACCCCCUUAUGUAUGUGCAUGCUAGGCACCUGUGAUCCCCAGUAGCAGCAAUCUUUAAGUUGCAAAGUCUUAUGAAAUCUGAAUCUGAUUCUGUCAGCACUGAAAGGAAUUCCUGUACCUUGCAGAUAGAAACCCAUAUCUCCUGGCUCCUUGUCACAUGACGCAUUUUCGGUUGCAUCAGGGCCCCUCCUGCCCCUGACUCAGCCUGUCUUCCCCCGCAGGCCAGAGACUAGAUAAGGCAAGUGAGGCAUUUACCUUAGGUACAUAUUUUAAGGGACUGUCACAAAGCUCAGUCAUCCAGAGAAAUACUAUUUUAAUGCAGUAAUUUUUAAAAAUGAAAAUAAAUGCAAAAACAUCCAUAAUGAAUACGAACAAAAUUUUGUAAAGACAGGAUCCAACCCUGGAUGGCAGGACUUGGCCUCACUUGCCUCACCUUCAUUUCAGCCCUAUAGUACCCUGUCUUAAUUUAAAUUUAAAAAAUUUUUGAGGGUAUUUUUGCAUCCAUUUUGAUGUAAAUAUUAUUUAUCUUGGUCACUGAGUUAUUUGGCACCUCCUUAAAUUUUGCACCCCUACGAGUGCCUCAUUGGACUCACCCUAGUCCUGGCCCUGCUCCCCCACUUCCUGUUGGGCCCUACAGCCCUGCUCCCUUCAGUUCUCCCUGUCUAAUGUCUCAGGUUGGGAUCUCAGCUUCUGUCUGAGCUGGGGCCCCACCAUGGGCUCUCCCUCCUGAAUGCCCAUCCUCCACUCCACCCCUCUGGACCUGCUUCAUCCUUGGACACCUCCAAGAGGACUUGCAGGUUGCCAUGGUAACUGCUGUGGUAAUUGGAGGACAGAACACGCUGGGCUUGCUCCACUCCUACAGUCAUGUCCGGCCAGAGCUGGAUAAGUGCAGGUAUGCCUGACAGAAUCCCUGCUGCACGAAUCUCAAAGGAAGCUAAAACAUUGCUGGAUGUGUAUGGAGAUGGAGAAAAUUACAUUUACCUGAAUCCCUCCCAGGGGAAGGACAGCCUGUGGCUAAUGGAAGACUGGUGAUGUUUGUGACAGGGAGGCGAAACGCGGAAGUAAACAUGGAUGCUGGCUAACCAGCCUUCUGCAGAGGGAGGCACUCCCCGGCCCAUGGGAUCUCAUCAUUCAAAGCAACGCAGGAAACUUGGGCCCCUGAAACGGGGCCACCGAAGAGAUCCAGAUCGGAGAACAACCAGGAGGAAGUACUGGAAGGAAGGAAGGGAGAUCGUUCGG